ACAUUUGGAGAGAAACAAACAGCAGGAUACUCUUGUCCAAGCAAGCAGUUACUUUCCUUCCCCUGAGAGAGCUUCGAGGUGCUUCUUGGAGUCAUUCUGCUAAUCCUGGCUGCAGCCCAACAAGGCUUCCCUGCAGUGUAAUGGAGUUCUCUGUGCCUGAGCAGGUUCUGUCCCACUGACCCCCUGACAGUGGCAGCACACAAUGUGCUCAUGUGGCUUUGUUGAUACCAGCACUAAAUUCCUGUGUGGCAUCUGCUGUGACAAGAGACAGACCUGCUUGAGCAACCACAGUUUCUCCUCAUGGCGCUGCUGAGAAAUGGUGGAAUAUAGGUACAGUCCCAGGCCAUGCCAGCUACAUCUUCGCUGCUUUUCAGUGCC